UAGGGAAUCUUCCGCAAUGGACGCAAGUCUGACGGAGCAACGCCGCGUGAGUGAAGAAGGAUUUCGGUUCGUAAAACUCUGUUGUUAGAGAAGAACAGCGCAUAGAGUAACUGUUAUGCGUGUGACGGUAUCUACCAGAAAGCCACGGCUAACUACGUGCCAGCAGCCGCGGUAAUACGUAGGUGGCAAGCGUUGUUCGGAUUUAUUGGGCGUAAAGCGAGCGCAGGCGGUCAAUUAAGUCUGAUGUGAAAGCCCCCGGCUCAACCGGGGAGGGUCAUUGGAAACUGGUGGACUUGAGUGCAGAAGAGGAGAGUGGAAUUCCAUGUGUAGCGGUGAAAUGCGUAGAUAUAUGGAGGAACACCAGUGGCGAAGGCGACUCUCUGGUCUGUAACUGACGCUGAGGCUCGAAAGCGUGGGUAGCAAACAGG
rnacentral:rRNA from 1 species